GCAUCGAUGAAAGNACGCAGCGAAAUGCGAUAACUAAUGUGAAUUGCAGAAUUCAGUGAAUCAUCGAGUCUUUGAACGCACAUUGCGCCCUCUGGUAUUUCCGGAGGGCAUGCCUGUCCGAGCGUCAUU
rnacentral:rRNA from 1 species